AGACUACUGUCCUUGGAGGAGCUUCUGCAGGAUCAAUUUCUCCACUCCCAACAGAUCCAGUCCAUCUGAGCGGUCCGAUCAAUAAAAAUGCCUCUCCUCUUAGUUGAACUAAUUCACCGCUGGGUUGGCUAGUUUGCCUUUGAGACGCAGGUAAAGGUCAAUCCUCUGGCUUUUUUUAACCUCUAUCUAAGCUGUUUUGAUACCGUUGAAAACAAUGAGUCAAUCAGGUCACCUAGUUGACUAACACGAGCGUUUCAAACAUUUGUCUUUCCAUGCAGUUGUCUGGGAGGUGGAUUAAUGAAGCUGGGAUACUCCCAGGUUUCACAAUGCCUGGCAGAUCGUGAAUAUGAACGCCUGAGCAGCAGCAGCAGCAGGAGAAAACAG